rnacentral:rRNA from 1 species
CCUACGGGAGGCAGCAGUGAGGAAUAUUGGUCAAUGGACGAGAGUCUGAACCAGCCAAGUCGCGUGAAGGAUGACUGCCCUAUGGGUUGUAAACUUCUUUUAUAAAGGAAUAAAACGAGGCACGUGUGCCUUUUUGCAUGUACUUUAUGAAUAAGGAUCGGCUAACUCCGUGCCAGCAGCCGCGGUAAUACGGAGGAUCCGAGCGUUAUCCGGAUUUAUUGGGUUUAAAGGGAGCGUAGAUGGGUUGUUAAGUCAGUUGUGAAAGUUUGCGGCUCAAACGUAAAAUUGCAAUUGAUACUGGCAGUCUUGAGUACAGUUGAGGUAGGCGGAAUUCGUGGUGUAGCGGUGAAAUGCUUAGAUAUCACGAAGAACCCCGAUUGCGAAGGCAGCUUACUAAACUGUGACUGACAUUGAUGCUCGAAAGUGUGGGGAUCAAACAGGAUUAGAUACCCUGGUAGUC